UUACAGUCAUAUCACGUCGAACCACCGAUUCCCGUACGAUCACCGCAGUUAAGCAACGUGAUGACUGAUCAGUGCCUAGAUGGGUGACCGCCUGGAAAUACCCCGUGCUGUAAG